CUUCUCUGCACCGGAAGGAGAACCCGAGAACACUUUUGGAAUUAUGGCGGCGGUGGAUAUCCAAGAUAAUCUACUGGGAAUCUCUUUGGUUGACAGUACAUGGAUCCCCAUUUUGAACAGUGGAAGUGUCCUAGAUUACUUUUCAGAAAGAAGUAAUCCUUUUUACAACAGAACGUGUAAUAAUGAAGUGGUCAAAAUGCAGAGACUAACAUUAGAACACUUAAAUCAGAUGGUUGGAGUGGAAUACAUCCUUUUACAUGCUCAAGAGCCCAUUCUUUUUAUCAUCCGGAAGCAACAGCGGCAGUCCCCUACCCAAGUUAUCCCACUGGCUGAUUACUAUAUCAUUGCUGGAGUGAUCUACCAGGCACCAGACUUGGGAUCAGUUAUAAACUCUAGAGUGCUUACUGCGGUGCAUGGCAUUCAGUCAGCUUUUGAUGAAGCUAUGUCAUACUGUCGAUAUCAUCCUUCCAAAGGGUAUUGGUGGCACUUCAAAGAUCAUGAAGAGCAAGAAAAAGUUAAACCUAAAACCAAAAGGAAAGAAGAACCAAGCUCUAUUUUCCAGAGGCAACGUGUGGAUGCUUUACUCUUAGACCUCAGACAAAAAUUUCCACCCAAAUUUGUGCAGCAAAAGUCUGGAGAAAAGUCUGUCCCAGUGGAUCAGACAAAGAAAGAGGCAGAACCUACACCAGAAACUGUGAAGUCUGAUGAGAAGGAGACCACAAAGAACAUCCAACAGACAGUGAGCACUAAAGGUCCCCCUGAAAAACGAAUGAGACUUCAGUGAGUAUUGGACAAGAGAAGCUUGUAAGACUUCUUGUCCAUUAUUAUACCUCAUACUGUGACAAGUUCUUGAACUUUGAAAUUCUUUGUCACAGCUCUCAUUUGUAUAGAAUGUGCUUGCUCUUUAUGCUCUUUAAGAAAGGAU